rnacentral:rRNA from 1 species
AGAGUUUGAUCCUGGCUCAGGACGAACGCUGGCGGCACGCUUAACACAUGCAAGUCGAACGAGAGAAGAGGAGCUUGCUUUUCUGACCUAGUGGCGGACGGGUGAGUAACACGUGAGCAAUCUGCCUUUCAGAGGGGGAUACCGAUUGGAAACGAUCGUUAAUACCGCAUAACAUAAUUGAACCGCAUGAUUUGAUUAUCAAAGAUUUAUCGCUGAAAGAUGAGCUCGCGUCUGAUUAGCUAGUUGGUAAGGUAACGGCUUACCAAGGCGACGAUCAGUAGCCGGACUGAGAGGUUGAUCGGCCACAUUGGGACUGAGACACGGCCCAGACUCCUACGGGAGGCAGCAGUGGGGAAUAUUGCACAAUGGAGGAAACUCUGAUGCAGCGAUGCCGCGUGAGGGAAGAAGGUUUUAGGAUUGUAAACCUCUGUCUUCAGGGACGAAAAAAGACGGUACCUGAGGAGGAAGCUCCGGCUAACUACGUGCCAGCAGCCGCGGUAAUACGUAGGGAGCGAGCGUUGUCCGGAAUUACUGGGUGUAAAGGGAGCGUAGGCGGGAUCGCAAGUCAGAUGUGAAAACUAUGGGCUUAACCCAUAAACUGCAUUUGAAACUGUGGUUCUUGAGUGAAGUAGAGGUAAGCGGAAUUCCUAGUGUAGCGGUGAAAUGCGUAGAUAUUAGGAGGAACAUCAGUGGCGAAGGCGGCUUACUGGGCUUUAACUGACGCUGAGGCUCGAAAGCGUGGGGAGCAAACAGGAUUAGAUACCCUGGUAGUCCACGCCGUAAACGAUGAUUACUAGGUGUGGGGGGACUGACCCCUUCCGUGCCGCAGCAAACGCAAUAAGUAAUCCACCUGGGGAGUACGACCGCAAGGUUGAAACUCAAAGGAAUUGACGGGGGCCCGCACAAGCAGUGGAGUAUGUGGACUAAUUCGAAGCAACGCGAAGAACCUUACCAGGUCUUGACAUCGUAUGCAUAGCUCAGAGAUGAGUGAAAUCUCUUCGGAGACAUAUAGACAGGUGGUGCAUGGUUGUCGUCAGCUCGUGUCGUGAGAUGUUGGGUUAAGUCCCGCAACGAGCGCAACCCUUACUGUUAGUUGCUACGCAAGAGCACUCUAGCAGGACUGCCGUUGACAAAACGGAGGAAGGUGGGGAUGACGUCAAAUCAUCAUGCCCCUUAUGACCUGGGCCUCACACGUACUACAAUGGCUGUCAACAGAGGGAAGCAAAGCCGCGAGGUGGAGCGAACCCCUAAAAGCAGUCUUAGUUCGGAUUGUAGGCUGCAACCCGCCUACAUGAAGUCGGAAUUGCUAGUAAUCGCAGAUCAGCAUGCUGCGGUGAAUACGUUCCCGGGCCUUGUACACACCGCCCGUCACGCCAUGGGAGUCGGUAACACCCGAAGCCUGUAGUCUAACCGCAAGGAGGACGCAGUCGAAGGUGGGAUUGAUGACUGGGGUGAAGUCGUAACAAGGUA